rnacentral:rRNA from 1 species
GCUUGCUCCAGGCGUCGAGCGGCGGACGGGUGAGUAAUGCAUAGGAAUCUGCCCGGUAGUGGGGGAUAACCUGGGGAUACUCAGGCUAAUACCGCAUACGUCCUACGCGAGAAAGCAGAGGAUCUUCGGACCUUGCGCUAUCGGAUGAGCCUAUGUCGGAUUAGCUUGUUGGUGAGGUAAUGGCUCACCAAGGCGACGAUCCGUAGCUGGUCUGAGAGGAUGAUCAGCCACAUCGGGACUGAGACACGGCUCGAACUCCUACGGGAGGCAGCAGUGUUGAAUAUUGGACAAUGGGCGAAAGCCUGAUCCAGCCAUGCCGCGUGUGUGAAGAAGGCUUUCGGGUUGUAAAGCACUUUCAGUGAGGAUGAAGGCCUUGGGGCUAAUACCCCCGAGGAAGGACAUCACUCACAGAAGAAGCACCGGCUAACUCCGUGCCAGCAGCCGCGGUAAUACGGAGGGUGCGAGCGUUAAUCGGAAUUACUGGGCGUAAAGCGCGCGUAGGCAGCGUGAUAAGCCGGUUGUGAAAGCCCCGCGCUCAACCUGGGAACGGCAUCCGGAACUGUCAGGCUAGAGUGCAGGAGAGGAAGGUAGAAUUCGCGGUGUAGCGGUGAAAUGCGUAGAGAUCGGGAGGAAUACCAGUGGCGAAAGGCGGCCUUCUGGACUGACACUGACGCUGAGUGCGAAAGCGUGGGUAGCAAACAGGAUUAGAUACCCUGGUAGUCCACGCCGUAAACGAUGUCGACUAGCCGUUGUGGUCCUUGAGACCUUUGUGGCGCAGUUAACGCGAUAAGUCGACCGCCUGGGGAGUACGGCCGCAAGGUUAAAACUCAAAUGAAUUGACGGGGGCCCGCACAAGCGGUGGAGCAUGUGGUUUAAUUCGAUGCAACGCGAAGAACCUUACCUACCCUUGACAUCGUGCGAACUCUCCAGAGAUGGAUUGGUGCCUUCGGGAACGCACAGACAGGUGCUGCAUGGCUGUCGUCAGCUCGUGUUGUGAGAUGUUGGGUUAAGUCCCGUAACGAGCGCAACCCUUGUCCCUAUUUGCCAGCGAUUCGGUCGGGAACUCUAGGGAGACUGCCGGUGACAAACCGGAGGAAGGUGAGGACGACGUCAAGUCAUCAUGGCCCUUACGGGUAGGGCUACACACGUGCUACAAUGGCCGGUACAAAGGGUUGCGAAGCCGCGAGGUGGAGCUAAUCCCGAUAAGCCGGUCUCAGUCCGGAUCGGAGUCUGCAACUCGACUCCGUGAAGUCGGAAUCGCUAGUAAUCGUGAAUCAGAAUGUCACGGUGAAUACGUUCUCGGGCCUUGUACACACCGCGCGUCACACCAUGGGAGUGGAC